UGUGUUGAGUAGUUGAGAAGAAUGUUUAAGCCUGAUAUAUAUGGAAGCAAUCAAACAGCGGACUGAAGCUCUUACCGUCCGAAAACAUGUACAGUACUUGGCCCAAGGCAAGUGCUCGAGUACAUCUGAUACAAAGAGAUUCUCAAAUGAGUUAGUAGUGUACAUCAUGAGGUGUUACAACACAUUUUAUUUUUUUUUGAUGACAAGGGAAACCCGCAGCCGCUACCUUUUGGGUGCGCACAGGGUAAAACCCCCGCUCCUAUGCAAUAGCUCGCAAACCACAUAGGAGAGGUAAACCGCACUAGGCAAGCCUGGUGCGACGAGCUCGACUCAGAAGGCAAACCCCUUGCUUUCGCUGGCAAGGGGUUUCGAACUUGAGACCUCCAACAUGGAAGUCCCAAGCUCAAAACCACUGGGCCACCCCGAAGGGUAGUUACAACACAUUUUAUUCAAUGCACAACAGAUAAACAGAAUCAAAUUGAUUCCUUAUAAUGUAAACGACUCUUUUUUACAUAAAAAUUGUAUGCAGUUUAUAUAUAUAUGAUUGUAGGCUCUGACAUGAGUAAGAUUCUAACGGAAACAGAAAUUUCAAGAAUGUUAACUAACCUGGGACAAGAUGGAGCCGUCAAACCGCUAGUCAAAAUGUUCGCCAUUGAGAGCCUAGAAGCUAAGCAACCGUCUCUUAACGCGGUGCACAACUUGUCUGCCUCAAAAGCAAAUGUUCAAUGUCUGAUAAAACCGGGCAUUGUUGCUACUCUGCUACAACUUCUUUUCUCCGUGACAUCAGUGCUCAUGACUCUAAGAGAGCCAGCAUCCGCGAUUCUUGCAAAAAUAGCAGCUCAAUCGAAAGUUUGCAUAGUACUAGUGAAACAAUUCCCAGUUCAUUUGCCUAACUCAAACCUGAACAUUAAUUUUACUCCCAGUUUCAAUUCACUUCCAAAAUUCUAAUCCUAACCCUAAUUCCGGUUCAAUCCCGAAGCAUUUCCAUCCCUUCCCAUGAGGAGAAGACAAGGUAGGCCAAGCAGUAAACUGCCUUUGUGCCAAGUAUCCAGUAAUUUUCUCGGUAGUGCCAAUGAAGAACAGUCUGCAUUUCUGUCUUCAUCUUUUUUAGAUAAGUUUAGCAAACCCCGAGUGAAAAGUUCCAAUUUCGCAAACACAAAUGUUAAUUCUUAGGUGCUU
rnacentral:lncRNA from 1 species